GGAUGCACUGGUGGUGCAUAUUGCUGAAUUCUAGCAUAUCACGUGCACAAGCAGCACGGGUGCACAUUCAUAUUUGACAAGGCUAAUUUAAAUUCAAUUCAGUAGAUCAACUCACCAGAUACCAAACCCAGAUCCAGCAUAUCAGUUUAGACUUUAGAGUCCUUAUCCUGAACUGACACCUUGUACCAUGGUGAGCUCUAAGUACUAUAAAAUCAAAAAUAAAUUCUCAGGUCACAAGUUUUCACAUACAUGUAACAUCUUCAGCUGUGGCUUCGUUGUAUGCAGAACUAUCAAAUCAAAUCUGAAUUUAGAAGAAGGCUACUAAGAUACUUAAAUAAGGAGAACUCUAAACAAAGUCACCAUGCCAAUCAAAACAUCCAUAAUGGUGAUUCAAACUCUAAUUAUUUCCACCAAGUGCAAUUUCAAUCACAAUAUUUGGCAAGAAGACUGCAGAGAACAAUAUAAUCAGCAUCCGGAAUACUGAUUCGGCGACAGAAACCUUGUGGUGUUACAUUGUUUCAGGAACUGCAGAUUCAAAUGUUCUGAUUCAUAUAUUCAGUUCCCAGCUUUCUUUCUGAGUAUGUAUAUACAGUGUGUGAGCUCUAGACAACAUUUU
rnacentral:lncRNA from 7 species